UACGAAGGGGGCUAGCGUUGUUCGGAAUCACUGGGCGUAAAGGGCGCGUAGGCGGCUUGAUAAGUCGGGGUGAAAGCCUGUGGCUCAACCACAGAAUUGCCUUCGAUACUGUCGAGCUUGAGACCGGAAGAGGUAAGUGGAACUGCGAGUGUAGAGGUGAAAUUCGUAGAUAUUCGCAAGAACACCAGUGGCGAAGGCGGCUACUGGCCCGGUAUACGUGACGCUGAGGAGCGAAAGCGUGGGAGCGAACAGG
rnacentral:rRNA from 1 species